ACUCAAAUGAAUAGACGGGGACCCGCACAAGCGGUGGAGCAUGUGGUUUAAUUCGAUGCUACGCGAAAAACCUUACCAACCCUUGACAUCCUGUGUAUGAGCUUUGUAAUGGAAGCUCUUCGGUUCGGCCGGCACAGAGACAGGUGUUGCAUGGCUGUCGUCAGCUCGUGUCGUGAGAUGUUGGGUUAAGUCCCGCAACGAGCGCAACCCUCAUCCUUAGUUGCCAACAGGUUAAGCUGGGAACUCUAAGGAAACUGCCGGUGACAAGCCGGAGGAAGGUGGGGACGACGUCAAGUCAUCAUGGCCCUUACGGGUUGGGCUACACACGUGCUACAAUGGAUGUGACAAUGGGACGCAACAUAGUAAUAUGAAGCAAAUCUCCAAAAGCAUCCUCAGUUCAGAUUGAGGCCUGCAACUCGGCCUCAUGAAGCUGGAAUCGCUAGUAAUCGUGGAUCAGCAUGCCACGGUGAAUACGUUCCCGGGUCUUGUACACACCGCCCGU
rnacentral:rRNA from 1 species